rnacentral:rRNA from 1 species
UGGGCAACCUGCCCUCAGCUCUGGGAUAACUCCAAGAAAUUGGGGCUAAUACCGGAUGUGACCGCUGACCGCAUGGUCUGGUGGUGGAAAGAUUUAUCGGCUGGGGAUGGGCCCGCGGCCUAUCAGCUAGUUGGUGUGGGUAAUGGCCCACCAAGGCGACGACGGGUAGCCGGCCUGAGAGGGUGACCGGCCACACUGGGACUGAGACACGGCCCAGACUCCUACGGGAG